rnacentral:lncRNA from 1 species
GCAGUUUUUUAAAAUUGCAGGUCUGUUUUUGUGAUAUUCACUACCACAAAAACAGACCUGCAUAAAAACAUAUACAGAAAUUCAAUUUCAACAUAAAAAAGACAUGUUCAAAUGUAUUUCAACAUCAAAUAAAGUAUAGAGUCUAAGAAAAUACAAUCUAAUCAAAUGCAAAUCUAAGAGCUAUUGUAUAAUCUAAUUAAAGACUUCGCAGCAGCUUUCCUAAUGAAUAGUAGUGGCUUCUCAGGAACUGGUGUCGUAGUCUUGAAUCUCUGCANN